CUCGUCUUCUUUCCAGUUUUAGAUAUCCCCUGUAAAUUUUCGAGGAAGGUACGGUUCCUGUUUCAAAAAAUAUUUAUUCGGUGAGGUUUUUAUCAAUUUAUGAAUUGGUUGAAGUAUCAGACAUAAUAAUUUGCUGACCUUGCUGGAUUGUAUCGAAGUAGAUAAAGAAAGUUUGUUUAACAGAAAAGAGACAGAUGAUGGUUUAUGCAGCGUUGAGUCGUACCUGCUGUUUGGGGCAAGCCACUGAAGGCUUCUCUGUAGACGAUAUUGGCGAUGGUGCUCGUGGAGCCACUGGGUCUGGUAAUAUUCAAAACUUUCAGUCCUUUUGGUGUGGUCACUCUUGAUAGUGCCACAUAUAGUUGACCAUGGGUGAAAACAGGUUUGGGCAAGUAAAGAGCAACCUUAGCCAGUGUUUGGCCUUGACUUUUGUUUAUUGUCAUUGCGUAGGAUACUCUAACCGGAAACUGGCGCCUUCUGAGAGUGAAGGGAUGAUUGGACUCUGUGGGUGAUAGGACGAUUCUAGGUAUCAGGACAGUCUGUUUUCUUGGGGAAGAUGUUAGUACUUCUGCCUUAAUAACUCUUUCCCCCAGGUGUGUGACUAUAAGUCUUGUACCAUUGCAUAGCCCUUCAGCCUGAUUUAUGUUGCGAAGGAGCAUGAUUGGCACCCCAACUUUGAGGCAAAUUCUAUGCGCAGGCAAGCCUGAAAAUUGUAAAGAGUUGAGAUAUUCCAAAGGAUAUGUUAAAUCAAACUCUCCCGAAUGUUUUUCGUCCUCAGCGAAGCUGUCGUAGCUUAAGAAUUCUUGCUCAGCACCCGGUAUUUUGGAAAGCAAGUAAGUGUUGAUUUCAUCAACCGUAGCGUUCUUCGGAGUUAAUAUAGCUGAAUCUCUGAUUUUUUCCAUGUCCUUGUAAUCAUUUGUGAAAUCUGGGAAAACAGAUUGACAAAGGAUGUCAAGUGGGUUGGAAGUCACAGGAAGGAGGAGAGAAUCGUCUAUCAGAAUUUGGUCUUCAGCAGCUUCUGUGUAUAUUUCUUUCUGAGGCGCCAGUGCUGCAACCCCAUCACCGACUUGUAAAAUCCAUUUAGCAAAAUCUUUUUCGUCAGAUUGUACGCGCAUGUUUGUGGAGAGAACAUGAAUUUCACAGUGGUUCCAGAGGUGUGAGUGAUUAACAGCUGCGUUAACUGUUU